UCAGUUGCGAUCUACUCGGCGUUCCGCGCGCCGGAUAACCGUAGUAAUUCUAGGGCUAAUACGUGCGAAGCGCCCGAAGCCGCGAGGCGACGGGCGUUCUCGCCGGAUGUAGGAACCGACCCGGGGGACCGCCGGGGGCAACCCGGCGCCCCCGAGACGGGGCGAACCACGGUGAAAUGACGGAUCGUCGGCCCCCGCGCCGGCGACUCGCCGAAUGAGUUUCUGACCUAUCAACUCGAGACGGCGGGGUAGAGGCCCGCCGCGGUAACGACGGGUAACGGGGAAUCAGGGUUCGAUUCCGGAGAGGGAGCCCCGAGAAACGGCUACCACUUCCAAGGAAGGCAGCAGGCGCGCAACUUACCCUAAUCUCGAUUCGAGGAGGUAGUGACAAGAAAUACCGAUGCGGGACCCUACGGGUGCCGCGUUCGGAAUGAGUACGAUUCGAACCACCUAACGAGGAACGAUCGGAGGGCAAGUCUGGUGCCAGCAGCCGCGGUAAUUCCAGCUCCAAUAGCGUACGUUAAAGUUGCUGCAGUUAAAAAAGCUCGUAGUUGAAC
rnacentral:rRNA from 1 species